rnacentral:rRNA from 1 species
GAUAAACGCUGGCGGUGUACAUAAGACAUGCAAGUCGAACGGGAGAAACUAAGAUGGAUUUAUUCAACUUAGCAGACACCGUGGCGGAUGGGUGAGUAACACGUAAGCAACCUGCCUAAAAGAGGGGAAUAACAGAGAGAAAUUUCUGAUAAUACCGCAUAUACCAAAGUAUCGCAUGGUACAAUUGGGAAAGAUUUAUCACUUUUAGAUGGGCUUGCGUCUGAUUAGCUAGUUGGUGAGAUAACAGCUCACCAAGGCGACGAUCAGUAGCCGGAUUGAGAGGUUGAACGGCCACAUUGGGACUGAGACACGGCCCAGACUCCUACGGGAGGCAGCAGUCGGGAAUAUUGCACAAUGGAGGAAACUCUGAUGCAGUGACACCGCGUAUAGGAAGAAGGCCUUAGGGUUGUAAGCUAUUGUCGUGUGAGAAGAAAAUGACUAUCACAGGAGGAAGCCCUGGCUAAAUAUGUGCCAGCAGCCGCGGUAAUACAUAUGGGGCGAGCGUUAUCCGGAUUUAUUGGGUGUAAAGGGUUCGUAGGCGGGAAAGUAAGUCAGUAUGUGAAAUCCCUCGGCUCAACCGAGGAACUGCAAUUGAAACUAUUUUUCUUGAGUACUGGAGGGGAAAGUGGAAUUCUUAGUGUAGCGGUGAAAUGCGUAGAUAUUAGGAAGAACACCAGUGGCGAAGGCGACUUUCUGGACAGUAACUGACGCUGAGGAACGAAAGUGUGGGGAGCAAACAGGAUUAGAUACCCUGGUAGUCCACACUGUAAACGAUGGAUACUAGGGGUUGGCAUAGGAAAUGUCGGUCCCGCAGUUAACGCAUUAAGUAUCCCACCUGGGGAGUACGACCGCAAGGUUAAAACUCAAAGGAAUUGACGGGGGCCCGCACAAGCAGUGGGGUAUGUGGUUUAAUUCGACGCAACGCGAAGAACCUUACCAGGGCUUGACAUGAUUAGGAAUAUAUAAGAGAUUAUAUAGCUCUACGGAGUCUAAUUACAGGUGGUGCAUGGUUGUCGUCAGCUCGUGUCGUGAGAUGUUGGGUUAAGUCCCUAAACGAGCGCAACCCUUAUCGCUAGUUGCUAACAUUAAGUUGAGGACUCUAGUGAGACUGCCGUUUAUUAAAACGGAGGAAGGAGAGGAUGACGUCAAAUCAUCAUGCCCUUUAUGUCCUGGGCUACACACGUACUACAAUGGGUAGGACAAAGGGAAGCAACGGAGUGAUCCUGAGCAAAACCCAAAACCUAUUCACAGUUCGGAUUGAAGGCUGAAAUCCGCCUUCAUGAAGCCGGAAUUGCUAGUAAUGGCAGGUCAGCAUACUGCCGUGAAUACGUUCCCGGGCCU